UGUGUUAGUGGAAGCGUAUGGAAAGGCGCGCGAUACAGGGUGACAGCCCCGUACACAAAAGCGCAUGUGCUGUGAGCUCGAUGAGUAGGGCGGGACACGUGGUAUCCUGUCUGAAUAUGGGGGGACCAUCCUCCAAGGCUAAAUACUCCUGACUGACCGAUAGUGAACCAGUACCGUGAGGGAAAGGCGAAAAGAACCCCGGCGAGGGGAGUGAAACAGAACCUGAAACCGUGUACGUACAAGCAGUGGGAGCACAGGUUUACCUGUGUGACUGCGUACCUUUUGUAUAAUGGGUCAGCGACUUAUAUUCUGUAGCAAGGUUAACCGAAUAGGGGAGCCGGAGGGAAACCGAGUCUUAAUUGGGCGUUAAGUUGCAGGGUAUAGACCCGAAACCCGGUGAUCUAGCCAUGGGCAGGUUGAAGGUUGGGUAACACUAACUGGAGGACCGAACCGACUAAUGUUGAAAAAUUAGCGGAUGACCUGUGGCUGGGGGUGAAAGGCCAAUCAAACCGGGAGAUAGCUGGUUCUCCCCGAAAGCUAUUUAGGUAGCGCCUCGUGAAUUCAUCUCCGGGGGUAGAGCACUGUUUCGGCCAGGGGGUCAUCCCGACUUACCAACCCGAUGCAAACUGCGAAUACCGGAGAAUGUUAUCACGGGAGACACACGGCGGGUGCUAACGUCCGUCGUGAAGAGGGAAACAACCCAGACCGCCAGCUAAGGUCCCAAAGUCAUGGUUAAGUGGGAAACGAUGUGGGAAGGCCCAGACAGCCAGGAUGUUGGCUUAGAAGCAGCCAUCAUUUAAAGAAAGCGUAAUAGCUCACUGGUCGAGUCGGCCUGCGCGGAAGAUGUAACGGGGCUAAACCAUGCACCGAAGCUGCGGCAGCGACACUAAGUGUUGUUGGGUAGGGGAGCGUUCUGUAAGCCUGCGAAGGUGUGUCGUGAGGCAUGCUGGAGGUAUCAGAAGUGCGAAUGCUGACAUAAGUAACGAUAAUGCGGGUGAAAAACCCGCACGCCGGAAGACCAAGGGUUCCUGUCCAACGUUAAUCGGGGCAGGGUGAGUCGACCCCUAAGGCGAGGCCGAAAGGCGUAGUCGAUGGGAAACGGGUUAAUAUUCCCGUACCUGGUGUUACUGCGAAGGGGGGACGGAGAAGGCUAUGUUGGCCGGGCGACGGUUGUCCCGGUUUAAGCGUG
rnacentral:rRNA from 1 species